CACCACCAAUCCGCUGGAAUCUAGUCACAAGUUACUUAAUUACAUCAAUAAGUGCUAAAUGAAUCAACCCCAAUGCAUGAAAAUGAGUUUUCUCAAAGUUUUACCCAAAAGGUCAAAAUCACCCCGGGCCCACCUGGUCGAAACUCGAGGUUCGGACCAAAACCCGAUUACCCAUUCCCCCACGAAUCCAAAUGUAUAAUUUGUUUUGAAAUCGGACCUCAAAUUGAGGUCUAAAUCCCCAAUUUUUUUGAAAGACCUAGGUCCUACCCAAAACACCCAAUUUCCCCCAUGAAAAAUUUUGAUUUUAAGUUGAAACCAUGUUAAAAGAUGUUAAUGAUUGAAGAAAACUAGUUAAAAAUGACUUACAAUUGAUUUGGAGAAGAAAGGUUGUUUGAAAAACCGCCUCUUAUGUUUUUUGGGGUUUUGAAAAGUGAAAAAUAGCUGAAAAUCUCGUCUAUUUAUACCCCUCUCAGACUGUCACUGCCGACCGCAUAAAAAGGACUGCGACCACUGAGCUCCACCGCGGACCGCAUUAAACGGACUGCUACCGCACAGGCCUCCCUGAAGACCUGCAGUUCAGCACCCUGUGCAGACUGUUAUACCUCAUUUUAACAUGGGUUAAAUUAGAGUAUAAUAUAUUUGUAAUUCUGCGGGUAUAAUUAGUUAAAGAGAGUCACGACCUAAUUAUUUUAACCAGCCAAACUUAGGUUAAUUAGUAAAACAACUAAAUGGUGAGAAUCUACUUAUUAGAAAAGAGUUAAUAGUAAGUCAUUCCAAAGUAGAUAUUUGCAAUUGGAGCAAGAAAAUUGUUUUAGACCGUUUCAAACUCAUAAAAGAAAAGUCCAAAACUAUUUGAAAACAAAAUUCAAAACUCAUUAAGUUUCCAAUAAUUAGCUAAGAAAAACAGUUCAACAAAGUGAAAGAAAAUAGAUGAAAAUUAAAGCUUGCUUGGGUCAAAAAACAUUUUCCUAAUGAGAACAGAUUAAUCACUAAAGUUGUAACAAAUCUAAGAUUCACAAAAUAUUUAAGGAAAUCACUUUCGCGUGAGGAAAUACUUUACAAGUUCAAAAUCACAAAUCAUUCCAGCCAAGUGCGUUUAACAUUUAAAAGCAAAAGAAUAUUAAAUUAUUGAACUCCCAAAGAUCAAAUCUAAUGUAGAUAAAUUAAGGAUAACUACAGAGUUCUAGACCUCUACCCCAUAUUCUUUUUGAUAAAACAAACAUCCUUAUUGUUACCUAGUAAUAACUCUAAAUGAUCUAAGGCCCAACUCUUAUAAACAAACAAAUAGUCACAACAAACACAAAAGUAAAUAUUAGUCAGUAAGGAUAAAUCAAAAUAAUUUAAAAUAAUGUAAUAAAGCUUCUAUCCAAUUGUCAGGAGGAUAAAUCUCCCCAAGUCUCGCUAUUCAAAGGGACGAGUAAAGGUAUGAGGGUUCACUUCGGCAGCAGCGUGGAGUCUAACUUUGAGACUCUUUGGCUCCGGUGUGUGUAACAUGCAAAGAAAAAAAAUAAAAAAAUAAAAUUAGCAGAGGACUUAAAUCUUCAACAAGCAUGAAGAAAAUGAAACAAUGAAGCUAGGCAAAGACAAGCUUGCUUUGAGUGUGUGUCCCAAGUAUUAUAGAGACAAGGAACAGAUCUCAAAAACUUCAAAUAGGAUACAUAUUAUAAGGAAAGGAUGCUUUUAUAAAACUUAAGAACGUAAUAUUUACCUAGUAUAUAUACUUGUAAGGACUAGGAAUGAGACAUACUUUUAAAUAUAUGUGUCACUUUAACAUGCUUUCAAUCAGUUGGGUCAAGCUACUGCUACUCCAUAAGUAAUAUUUAAUUAAUUAAUUUAAACAGUAACAAAUUCUCUUAACAAGAUCCAUGUUCACAUACUAUUUAAAAUAGUGAGUCAGUAUUUUAAACAAUAUUUUAGCAGAAUACUUCUUCCAUGUGACAUUUAAAUAAGUAAAUAGUGGCUAAUCCAUAAAAAUUCAUGGCCUACAAACAUCUUAAAUAGCUGAAAACGACAUAUUACCUAAAGGUUUAAUAAUAGUAUGUACUAUUAGCAAAUUCCAUACGCAGGUUCAUAUGAGAAUUUAGUCAAAACACAUGCCAUUCUUAUUCAAACUUCAUAUUGCCAGAAUACGCAAUGAACCACAAAUCAUGGUUUUUCAAUAAAACAAUUCCUAAAGCAUGAUUUCUACAUAGAAAGCAAGUCACAUUCUUAAGCAAGCAUUUAUUAUGGAACUCAAAAAAUAUAAAUAAAAAAAAGGGAGAAGGAAAUUUUAAAGCUAACGGACCUUCUUUGGGGGCAGUGAACCGAGGGCGGCGUCAAGAAGAUCUACUAUCACCGGCUUUUGAUCAACUCCAUUUGAAUAUCGUCAAAUGGCGACAUGAAUAAAUUGAAAGCUUUGGCAUGGCUCUAGUUUUUGGGGUAAAAGGGGCGGCUAAACCUUAAGGUUAAAGAAAGGGGCCGAAGCUUGUGGGUUUAAAGAUAGGUGCAACGGCUUCAAAAGUUCUGCCAAUAUAUUUCAAAUGCAUGUAUUUAUAGGUGAAGAAGUAGGGUUCAUGGGCGGGAUUUUUACCUCUAAUGUUUGAAAUUAAGAGCGUGGGGUUUCGAACAGUAAAAUAGUCGUUCAUCAUUUAAUGAGCGAGAUUUGAGCAGAUUUGUUUUAGAUUUACUUGAGACUUUGAGCAGAUUUGUUUUAAAUUAAUACCCAAAAUGGUUGGAAUGUUGUGCAGCAAGAAAAAGAAAAAUGGAGAAACUCCAUGUGAGCAAAGAGAGAGAAAAGAUCCCAAUUUAGACUUCUUGGCACUGGAUUUGAGGCGAGAAUUCAUUGUAAUUAAAUGAAAAUUUGAAAUCCAAAAGAGAGAUACUUUAGUGAAAUUGAAUUUCAAAAAUAAUUUGAAACGGUAGUGCUACCGUUCUACCGAAGCUUCACCAAAUGGUGUGACAUAAUAUCUUCCAUAGAAAUUCAAAGUAGGCAAUAUAUUAUGUUAUUUGAAAAGACGACAAUGUGAUUUGGAAAGUCAAA
rnacentral:lncRNA from 1 species